UACGUAGGGCGCAAGCGUUAUCCGGAAUUAUUGGGCGUAAAGAGCUCGUAGGCGGUUUGUCGCGUCUGCCGUGAAAGUCCGGGGCUUAACCCCGGAUCUGCGGUGGGUACGGGCAGACUAGAGUGCAGUAGGGGAGACUGGAAUUCCUGGUGUAGCGGUGAAAUGCGCAGAUAUCAGGAGGAACACCGAUGGCGAAGGCAGGUCUCUGGGCAUUAACUGACGCUGAGGUGCGAAAGCGUGGGGAGCAAACAGG
rnacentral:rRNA from 1 species